rnacentral:tRNA from 1 species
GGGGCCGUGGCUCAGUGGUUAAAGCGCUCUCUUUCCGAGAGAGAGGCGGUGGUUCGAAUCCAUCCGGCCCCA